CUGUGUUCACCAGGAGGAAGUAAGAAAGCUGCAGGCUGUGCCAGUGAUAUGAGAAAUAAGUCAUCUAACUCGCUCUCAAGAUGAACAGUCAUGGGAGGGUAUUAGAGAUCAUCUACUCCAAGUGCCUCGUCGUCUAGAUGAUGUGCAGGAUGAAUUCCGCAGAGUCGUACCCUAAGAUGUUCUAAGCCAGCCCCCUGCAGGACAUGUCCCCGUUAGAGCACCUGGGGUAGAGCUGGCUCCUGGAUCUGCGGGAGAGGCCAACAGGUUGGCCUCCCAUGACUC